rnacentral:rRNA from 1 species
GAUGAACGCUGGCGGCGGGCCUAAUACAUGCAAGUCGAACGGGCUUACGAGGCUUGCUUCUGUUGAGAGUGGGCCACGGGUGCGUAACACGUAUGUAACCUACCUUUCUCUGGGGGUUGGCCUCCCUCAGGAAAGAUUAACCCCGCAUAAAAUCACAGCACAACAUUGUGUAUUGAUCAAAUAUUUAUAGGUUACAGAUGGUCAUGCGUAAGAUUAGCUAGAUGGCGGGGUAACGGCCCACCAUGGCUACGAUGUUUAGGGGAUCGGAGGGGAUGGCCCCCCACAACGGUACUGAGACACGGACCAGACUGCUACGGGAGGCAGCAGUAAGGAAUAUUGGGCAAGGGGGGGAAGCCUGACCCAGCCAUGCGGGGGGCAGGAAGACGGCGCUACGGGUUGUAAACUGCUUUUAUACGGGAAUAAACCCAGAUACGUGUAUCUGGCUGAAUGUACUGUAAGAAUAAGGAUCGGCUAACUCCGUG